rnacentral:tRNA from 1 species
GGGGGCAUGCUAGAGCGGUCAAAUAGGGCAGACUGUAAAUCUGUUGGCUAUGCCUACGGUGGUUCGAAUCCAUCUGCCCCCA